GUUUGAUCCUGGCUCAGAUUGAACGCUGGCGGCAUGCCUUACACAUGCAAGUCGAACGGUAACGCGGGGCAACCUGGCGACGAGUGGCGAACGGGUGAGUAAUGCAUCGGAACGUGCCCAGUAGUGGGGGAUAGCCCGGCGAAAGCCGGAUUAAUACCGCAUACCACCUAUGGGUGAAAGCGGGGGACCGUAAGGCCUCGCGCUAUUGGAGCGGCCGAUGUCAUAUUAGGUAGUUGGGGGGGUAAAGGCCUACCAAGCCUACGAUCUGUAGCUGGUCUGAGAGGACCACCACCCACACUGGGACUGAGACACGGCCCACACUCCUACGGGAGGCAGCAGUGGGGAAUUUUGGACGAUGGGCGCAAGCCUGAUCCAGCCAUGCCGCGUGCGGAAAGAAGGCCUUCGGGUUGUAAACCUUUUUUGUCAAGAAAAAAAUCCUUUGGGCCAAUACCCCGAGGGGAUGACGGUACCUGAAAAAUAAGCACCGGCUAACUACGUGCCAGCAGCCGCGGUAAUACGUAGGGUGCAAGCGUCAAUCGUAAUUACUGGGCGUAAAGCGUGCGCAGGCGGUCGUGCAAGACAGAUGUGAAAUCCCCGGGCUUAACCUGAGAACUGUAUUUGUGACUGCACGGCUGGAGUGCGGCAGAAGGGGGAUGGAAUUCCGCGUGUAGCAGUGAAAUGCGUAGA
rnacentral:rRNA from 1 species